AUUGCCUCAGUAACGGCGAGUGAAGCGGCAAAAGCUCAAAUUUGAAAUCUAGCACUUUCAGUGUUCGAGUUGUAAUUUGAAGAAGGUAACUUUGGUUUUGGCUCUUGUCUAUGUUCCUUGGAACAGGACGUCACAGAGGGUGAGAAUCCCGUGCGAUGAGAUGCCCAAUUCCAUGUAAAGUGCUUUCGAAGAGUCGAGUUGUUUGGGAAUGCAGCUCUAAGUGGGUGGUAAAUUCCAUCUAAAGCUAAAUAUUGGCGAGAGACCGAUAGCGAACAAGUACAGUGAUGGAAAGAUGAAAAGAACUUUGAAAAGAGAGUGAAAAAGUACGUGAAAUUGUUGAAAGGGAAGGGCUUGAGAUCAGACUUGGUAUUUUGCGUUCCCUUCCUUUUUGGUUGGGUUCCUCGCAGUUUACUGGGCCAGCAUCGGUUUGGAUGGUAGGAUAAUGACAUUGGAAUGUAGCUUUACUUCGGUGAAGUGUUAUAGACUUUGUUGAUACUGCCUAUCUAGACCGAGGACUGCGUCUUUGACUAGGAUGCUGGCGUAAUGAUCUUAAGCCGACCGUCUUG
rnacentral:rRNA from 1 species